rnacentral:lncRNA from 13 species
AUUGUACCGCUCCUGCUCUCUCCUCGUAGUUAUUUUUAGCCCAUUCGUCAUACCGUUUUUAGACACUGAGCAUUUCUAUUCGCUUCGAUUUUAAAACACGGCGCUCGCCUGACCCGAAGCCCUCUAUCUGCCUUCGAGCAGGGUACUAAAUUCACUUUACCGUUGCCAAAUUGAUCCAACCGAGUUUCUUCUCAACUCAACGUGGUUUUGUUGUACAGAAGCCCUCUAUCUGCCUUCGAGCAGGGUACUAAAUUCACUUUACCGUUGCCAAAUUGAUCCAACCGAGUUUCUUCUCAACUCAACGUGGUUUUGUUGUACAGAAGGUAAGAUA